rnacentral:rRNA from 1 species
AAUUGGAAUGAGAACAAUUUAAACCCCUUAUCGAGGAUCCAUUGGAGGGCAAGUCUGGUGCCAGCAGCCGCGGUAAUUCCAGCUCCAAUAGCGUAUAUUAAAGUUGUUGCAGUYAAUAACGCUCGUAGUCGGACCUCGGAGCGCCCCCACGGGCCGGGCGGUUGCCUUUGUGCCCGUGGAGGUUUGUCUCCUUUUGUCGGGACGUGGUGUGUGGGGACUUUAUUGUUUCUGCUCAUGAAGCUACGGGCCGACCGUUUACUGUGAAGAAAGUAAAGUGUUCAAAGCAGGCUAAUGCCUUGAAUAUGUUGAGCAUGGAAUAAUAGAAUAGGACUUGGUCUCAAUUUUGUUGGUUUCCGGUGACUGAGGAAUGAUUAAUAGGGAUGGUUGGGGGCAUUCGUAUUUCAUUGUCAGARGUUGAAAUUCUUGGAUUGAUGGAAGACGUACAACUGCGAAAGCAUCUGCCAUGGAUGUUUUCAUUGAUCAAGAACGAAAGUUAGGGGAUCGAAGACGAUCAGAUACCGUCGUAU